GGUGUGAAACGCACGGAGACGAGCAGCGAGUCGUAGAUGGUGUGGCAGCUACGCGGCAUCAAGGCUGAGCUCAAGAGCAUGCCGCGCUUCUCAGUCUUCGGUCUCUUCGAGUUGGGCCGACACUGCCUGCUGUCGAUGGGAUCCAUCGCGCUGACCUACGUCAUCAUCGCAGUCCAGUUCACGACGAGCAACAGCCCCGUCACGUGCAAGGCCUUCGCGGC